rnacentral:rRNA from 1 species
GACGAACGCUGGCGGCGUGCUUAACACAUGCAAGUCGAACGGAAAGGCCCUGCUUUUGUGGGGUGCUCGAGUGGCGAACGGGUGAGUAACACGUGAGUAACCUGCCCUUGACUUUGGGACAACUUCAGGAAACUGGGGCUAAUACCGGAUAGGAGCUCCUGCUGCAUGGUGGGGGUUGGAAAGUUUCGGCGGUUGGGGAUGGACUCGCGGCUUAUCAGCUUGUUGGUGGGGUAGUGGCUUACCAAGGCUUUGACGGGUAGCCGGCCUGAGAGGGUGACCGGCCACAUUGGGACUGAGAUACGGCCCAGACUCCUACGGGAGGCAGCAGUGGGGAAUAUUGCACAAUGGGCGGAAGCCUGAUGCAGCAACGCCGCGUGCGGGAUGACGGCCUUCGGGUUGUAAACCGCUUUCGCCUGUGACGAAGCGUGAGUGACGGUAAUGGGUAGAGAAGCACCGGCUAACUACGUG